GACGAACGCUGGCGGCGUGCUUAACACAUGCAAGUCGAGCGGUAAGGCCCUUUCGGGGGUACCACGGAGCGGCGAACGGGUGAGUAACACGUGGGUGACCUGCCCUCAGCUCUGGGAUAAGGCCUGGGAAACCGGGUCUAAUACUGGAUAUGACUCCAUGACGCAUGUUGUGGGGUGGAAAGCCUUGUGCGGCUGAGGAUGGGGCCCNCGGCCUAUCAGCUUGUUGGUGGGGUGANGGCCUACCAAGGCGACGACGGGUAGCCGGCCUGAGAGGGCGACCGGCCACACUGGGACUGAGACA
rnacentral:rRNA from 1 species